rnacentral:misc_RNA from 1 species
UCCCCCGUGAGGGGGCAGUCUCGCCUGACAUAAGUAACAGACAACGAGGGUUGCGUUCGUUACCCCACUGAAGGGAACAGCUCAAGCCACGAACUGACGACAACCAUGCAUCACCUGCCAAGCACCCUCGAAGGCUUCUCCCGUUUCUGGGAGCGUGCAGCUUGGUUUCUAGCCCUGGUAAGGUUCUUCGCUUAGCUACGAAUUAAGCCACAUGAUCCACCACUUGUGCGAGUCCCCGUCUAUUCCUUUGAGUUUUAAGCUUGCGCUCGUACUACCCAGGCGGCUCGCUUACCGCGUUAGCUUAGCCUCACAGAGGGUCGAUACUCCGUAAAGCGAGCGAGCAACGUUUAGGGCUAGGACUAC